UUGGGGGAAGCGCCGCGAAGUAGAUUUUAAAUAAGGUCAAACAUUAUAAAUAAUAAAUAUUGGUUUAUUAUUUGUAUAUCUUUUUAUCCCUCUACCUUUUGCGAGCAAAACUGCGAGCAAAAGGUAGGAGUAGGAUUUAUUUAAAUUAAUAAAUUAAACGAUUCCUACUCCCCUCACUCCUCCCUCACUCUGUGAGGGGAAGGACACAACUGUGACUGUGAGGACUCCUUCCUUUUGCUCGCAAAAGCAAGAUGAAGCCUUACAGGGAGAAAGAGUCGGAGAAAAUUGAUUUGAUUAUUCAUUUAUUUGAGUAAUUAGUGUAGUUAUUCUUUAAUAUAUAAUUUUAUUAUAUUUUUUACUAGGUAUUUAACUGCUUUUUUUAGGUCUAAUUAGUUUCGACUAACCCAUCUGAGUAACAUCUCAAAAGUCAUAGCAAGGUA
rnacentral:rRNA from 1 species